CGUACUGCCACGCCAGUUGGGUGCCGUCGGGAUCCUCUGCCUCUGGGGUACCUGUACCUGCUGGAAGUUUCGGAGGAAUCCGUGAGCCACGGGGACUCAGCAAUCUAAGACCUUGGUGCCAGAACUAGUCAUGUUAUUGGGUAAGGAAGGGGUGAAGUGUUUCAGGUUGUUGCAUCCUAAGAUUGAACAAGUGGCUAGCUUACGCGAAAGAGAAGUGACAGUGUCCUAUACUAACGAUCGUGGUUAUUUGAUCAGAAAGUGAUCCUGAACACCUACCUACGGCAUUCAUAACCCCACCGUGUUCCCGAUCGAAGAGAGAUCUUCGAAGGGACAGUCACGGUUACUCACACAGUUGGCACAUUUUAUUAGUUUUUGUUUAAGUUUUCUAAUACCGGAUGUUAACAAAAUAUUCCAAGUUGCCACGUAACCGCGGGCACGGCUUUCCGAAAGAUUAAACCCUGCAGGGGUGCUCCAACUAGUCCAUCACAAACGAACACAGGCCGCAAAGUCAUCCUCUAUCACGAAUCUCGUGAUCUCGUCGGAUUCCUUAGAGGAAAA
rnacentral:lncRNA from 1 species